AUUGAACGCUGGCGGCAGGCUUAACACAUGCAAGUCGAGCGGGGGAAGGCAGCUUGCUACCGGACCUAGCGGCGGACGGGUGAGUAAUGCUUAGGAAUCUGCCUAUUAGUGGGGGACAACAUCUCGAAAGGGAUGCUAAUAUCGCAUACGUUCUACGAGAGAAAGCAGGGGAACUUCGGACCUUGCGCUAAUAGAUGAGCCUAAGUGGGAAUAGCUAGUUGGUGGGGUAAAGGCCUACCAAGGCGUUGAUCUGUAGCGGGUCUGAGAGGAUGAUCCGCCACACUGGGACUGAGACACGGCCCAGACUCCUACGGGAGGCAGCAGUGGGGAAUAUUGGACAAUGGGGGGAACCCUGAUCCAGCCAUGCCGCGUGUGUGAAGAAGGCCUUAUGGUUGUAAAGCACUUUAAGCGAGGAGGAGGCUACUCUAGUUAAUACCUAGGGAUAGUGGACGUUACUCGCAGAAUAAGCACCGGCUAACUCUGUGCCAGCAGCCGCGGUAA
rnacentral:rRNA from 1 species